rnacentral:rRNA from 1 species
CGGAUAGAGCCAGCGAAGUCGCUCGUAUUCAGCCAAAGGCCUGGGGCAUCGGUGUGCGGGGUUGCUAAUCACGCCCUUCGCGCCUUUUGCCCUUGGUUGAGGUGCAUUUGCGGGCGUUUGCGCUGAGACUUGCGGUCCAGCUUCGGGACCCGGGCCUAGAGGCCGUCUUUUUGGCGGAACUUGGGCACGGCGACGGUUGUUUGGGCUGCUCGUACCACGGCUUGGCCUACGGACCGGGGCGCUGUCGUUGUUUCCUUGCGAUGGCAUCGCAUGCGAUGACUCGUUCGGGAGUUUCGGCAGUGUUCCGCGUUCCCAAGUCGGCUCUCGGUGUAAAAGCUGGUCACCUAUCCGACCCGUCUUGAAACACGGACCAAGGAGUUUAGCGUAUGCGCGAGCCAUUGGGUGAUCAAACUCACAGGCACAAUGAAAGUGAAGGCCCAGCCGCUGGGCUGACAUGCGAGUCGGUGGGCCUCGGCCUGCCGAUGCAGCAUGGUCCCGUUCCAGUCGCUUGCGGCGGAGCGGAGACAGAGCGUAUGCGCUGAG